rnacentral:rRNA from 1 species
UACGUAGGGGGCAAGCGUUGUCCGGAAUUAUUGGGCGUAAAGAGCGCGUAGGCGGUCCGAUAAGUCGGCUGUGAAAGUCCAGGGCUCAACCCUGGAAAGCCGGCCGAUACUGUCGGACUAGAGUCCGGAAGAGGCAAGUGGAAUUCCCGGCGUAGCGGUGAAAUGCGCAGAUAUCGGGAGGAACACCAAUUGCGAAGGCAGCUUGCUGGGACGGUACUGACGCUGAGGCGCGAAAGCGUGGGGAGCAAACAGG